GAUGAACGCUGGCGGCGUGCCUAAUACAUGCAAGUCGAGCGAACAGACGAGGAGCUUGCUCCUCUGACGUUAGCGGCGGACGGGUGAGUAACACGUGGAUAACCUACCUAUAAGACUGGGAUAACUUCGGGAAACCGGAUCUAAUACCGGAUAAUAUAUUGAACCGCAUGGUUCAAUAGUGAAAGACGGUUUUGCUGUCACUUAUAGAUGUUUCCGCGCCGCAUUAGCUAGUUGGUAAGGUAACGGCUUACCAAGGCAACGAUGCGUAGCCGACCUGAGAGGGUGAUAGGCCAAACUGGAACUGAGAAACGGACAAGAAUCCUACGGGAGGGAGCAGUAGGGAAUCUUCCGCAAUGGGCGAAAGCAUGACGGAGCAACGCCGCGUGAGUGAUGAAGGUCUUCGGAUCGUAAAACUCUGUUAUUAGGGAAGAACAAAUGUGUAAGUAACUAUGCACGUCUUGACGGUACCUAAUCAGAAAGCCACGGCUAACUACGUG
rnacentral:rRNA from 1 species